GGCCCGCUUUACAGAUGUCCCCGCCCACUCCCCGCAAACUCCGCCCCUUGGACUGGUUUAUUCUCUUCCAGACCCGCCCCACCUCUACCCAUAACUCCGAGUCCUUCCUUAGGCUCCAGCCAGCGUCCUUCUUGCUCCCGGCCCUGCCCCCAGCCCCGCCCCGUGGCUCCGGCCCCGCCUCGCCGCCUUUCUCGGAGACCAAGGCCAGGUCCCCACUGCAGCCGCGGCGCCAGCAGGAGGGAGGGAGGAGGCAGAGGGGGAAGGGAGAAGGGCGGGCUCCUCAAGCCCAGCCCCGCGCUCAUCGUCCGUGCCCGCAGAUUCGCCACAAACGGCCCGACCACUCCGGAUCUGGAAUACCGCGACUUCAGCUUACAGGAACUCAACUCUAAGGUGGAGGUGCUACAGAAGUCAUGUGGGGUGCCUACGGGCCCUUCCGAGUCUCAGAGAAAGGCCUCUCAAGACUCAGCAGGCGGGCGGGGAUCUGUGGCGAAAGUGCAGAUCGACAGCGCCGAGGCGCCGCGUUUACCCUGCGCAGACGCCGUCGCCGCCGCUGCUGCCGCCGCCGCUGCCACUGCCUUUGCCGCCACGGUCUCCGCCGCCGCCGUCCCCGCGCUGCCUCCGGGGUCUUCCAUUGUUCCGGCCGUGCCAGGUCCCGAGGCCGGACAACCUAGAGGCUCUCGAAACCGGCGGCGGCCGACGGAGUUGAGACACCAGGGCGCCGGCGGGACCGGGAGCGGCAGGGGUCAGCGCGGGAAUCCCGGGGAGCCGGGGCCAGAGCGUGGGGCGGCAGGGUGCCGGGGUGGCGAGGUCUGCGGUCUCCGGAGUUGGGGCUCUCUCUCCCCGGCCCGUCUUUCCCCGCCGGCCUCCCCAACUGGGGUCGGAGCCCCGGCGGGCGCCCCCGGCAAUGAGCCCGGACUCGAGGUGGCCGGUGAGUGCGGGCCUGGGACCAGGGCGGGAGUGGCCAGCGGGGAAAGGCUAGACUACUUUCGUGGGGCGUGCACUGAGCUGCCCGGUCCGAGGGCCUCUUGGGCCACUCGAGCCGGGAGAACUGACAGUGCAUUAGCUCCCAGCCUGCGUCCCAGGGCAACAGAGUAUCCUCCAGGGCUCCCUGGGCCAAUGGCAGGAGGGGAGCCUUGUUUAACAUGUUACACUUCGACAAAAGGGAAACGUCGCCGCAUCCGGGAGAGGGCUGCGGGCACCGCCUGGGCCCGGCCUGAUCCCUCCGGCCCCCGCCCCCUACUUCCUCCAGCCCCCUGA
rnacentral:lncRNA from 1 species